rnacentral:lncRNA from 1 species
GUCUAACCUUACAUGUGAAACCAUCCAAAACUACGUAGUUUUGUUAGAAUUCCUUCCAAACUUCAUCUCGCUCCAUCAGGUCACGUCAAAAUUGGGUUUCUGCUCUCCUUCUCAUGCUCUGCCCAAUCGAUCUUCAUCAGGUAAACCCUAACUCUUAAAGGCACAGAUCUCUCCGCUAUCAUCGUUGAUGCACUUCAGUAUCUCGAUGGAAUCAAACAGGUGUUCAGAGCUGAUAUACAUCCAGGUGCAAGAGGCUAUGAUGAGUUAAUCUCAACUUCGUGAAUCAGAAGCCAACAAGGAAUCAAUUGGAUAUAGACAAUUGGAGAACCAACUGGAGCAAAAGUCAACAGAACGGACCCAACUAAGGAAAGACACUUGCAGCAACAAGCUGCUGAUUUAUCAUGAUAUUAUCUCGUGCGGUUCACUCAGAGAGAAUUUAAUGUAACAAUUUAGUGACUAUGUAUUCUAUUUGUAAUUGUUACUAGUAAUUAAUGUAAUUAUACAGUUUGUAAGUUCGUUUGACAUGUUUUAUAAUAACUUAAUGAAUUUUGACAUGUUUAAUAU